CAAGUUCUAGCAGUGCUGAAGGCUAAGGGUUAGUUAUCUAGUUAGAAAAAAGACAUGGUAUGUUUUCAGAUUUGAGAGUUUUGUUGAAGUCACGACUACUUGAU